UACGGAGGAUGCGAGCGUUAUCCGGAUUUAUUGGGUUUAAAGGGUGCGUAGGCGGUCCGUUAAGUCAGCGGUAAAAUUGCGGGGCUCAACCCCGGCCCGCCGUUGAAACUGGCAGUCUCGAGUUGGAGAGAAGUAUGCGGAAUGCGCGGUGUAGCGGUGAAAUGCAUAGAUAUCGCGCAGAACUCCGAUCGCGAAGGCAAGUGUCCGGGGUGCAACUGACGCUGAGGCUCGAGAGUGCGGGUAUCAAACAGG
rnacentral:rRNA from 1 species